rnacentral:rRNA from 1 species
CCUACGGGAGGCAGCAGUGAGGAAUAUUGGUCAAUGGACGGAAGUCUGAACCAGCCAUGCCGCGUGCAGGAAGACGGCUCUAUGAGUUGUAAACUGCUUUUGUACAAGGGUAAACCUGAAUACGUGUAUUCAUCUGCAUGUACUGUACGAAUAAGGAUCGGCUAACUCCGUGCCAGCAGCCGCGGUAAUACGGAGGAUCCAAGCGUUAUCCGGAUUUAUUGGGUUUAAAGGGUGCGUAGGCGGAUUGAUAAGUUAGAGGUGAAAGUUUGGGGCUUAACUCGGGAAUUGCAGCUGAUACUGUUGAUCUAGAGAGUAGAUGCGGUAGGCGGAAUGUAUGGUGUAGCGGUGAAAUGCUUAGAGAUCAUACAGAACACCGAUUGCGAAGGCAGCUUACCAAGCUAUAUCUGACGUUGAGGCACGAAAGCGUGGGGAGCAAACAGGAUUAGAUACCCCUGUAGUC